rnacentral:rRNA from 1 species
CAGAGACCUCGAGCGUUAUCCGGAAUCAUUGGGCGUAAAGCGUACCGAUAGGUGGUUAAGAAAGUCAGAUGUGAAAUCUCCGAGCUCAACUCGGAAUCCGUCAUUUGAAACUUCUUGACUAGAGGGGCAAAGAGGAAGCUGGAACGAACGGUGUAGUAGUGAAAUGCGUUGAUAUCGUUCGGAACACCAAUAGCGUAGGCAGGCUUCUGGGUGCCACCUGACACUGCUAGGACGAAAGCGUGGGGAGCGAAGGGGAUUAGAUACCCCCGUAGUCCACGCUGUAAACGAUGUACAUUCGGCGCUAGAGAGUAUCGACCCUCUUUAGUGCCAAAGCUAACGCGAUAAAUGUACCGCCUGGGGAGUACGGCCGCAAGGCUA